CCAACUCAGCUAAACUUAUCUGCUACUUCAGCACCUUAAAACUUUGUCCAUCACAGCUAUAUCCUCCCAAGGCCCCAUGGAAAUUGAAUCUCAUCAGCAGCUUCACAUGUUCUCAUUUCCAUUCAUGGCUCAAGGCCGCAACAUACCCUUCAUAGACAUAGCCAAGCUAUUUGCUUCUCAUGGUGUAAAAUCCACCCUGAUAACCACCCUUGUCAAUGCACCACUCUUCUCCAAAGCAAUCCAAAGCAGCAAAAAUUUGGGGUUUGAAAUUGAACUUCUUGUUAUCAGAUUCCCAGCUGAGGAAGUUGGGUUGCCUCAAGGAUGUGAAAGCAGUAACUUGGCUACAACAAUUGAGAUGAAGGAAAAGUUCUUCAAAGCCACCUUCCUGCUUGAGCCACAGAUUGAGCAGAUUUUAGACCAGCACCGCCCUCACUGCCUUGUUGCUGAUUCUUUCUUUCCUUGGGCUACAGAUGUUGCUGCCAAGUUCGGAAUUCCAAGGCUCAUUUUUCACGGGACUGGUUUUUUCCCUUCGUGUGCUUCACUGACUGUGAUAUUGCAUCAGCCUCACAAGAAGGUGGAAUCUGAUUCAGAACUUUUUACUAUUCCUAAUUUCCCAGUUGAGAUCAAGAUGACACGAACCCAAAUACGGAGUCUCUCUGAGAAAAAUUCUGAAUCAAUAAUGACCAAAUUGUUCAAAGAAUCCAGAGAGAUUGAGGAAAGGAGCUAUGGGAUUAUUGUUAAUAGUUUCUAUGUGUUGGAACCAGAUUUUGCAGAUCAUUACAGGAAUGUUUUUGGGAGGAAGGCAUGGCAUAUAGGUCCAGUUUCGCUAUGCAACAAGGCAGCAGAGGAUAAAACAGAGAUAAGGGGAAUGGAAGCCUCCCUUGAUGAACAUGAGUGCUUGAAUUGGCUAAGCUCUAAGAAACCCAAUUCAGUUGUUUACAUAUGUUUUGGAAGCCUGACCAAUUUUGCUGAUGUUGAGCUGCUAGAAAUUGCAUUGGGGCUUGAGGCUUAUGGGCAGGAAUUCAUUUGGGUUGUGAAGAAAGAAAAGAAAGAAAAGGAAGAGUGGUUGCCUGAAGGGUUUGAACAGAGAAUGGAAGGCAAGGGAGUAAUUAUAAGAGGUUGGGCUCCACAGGUGCUGAUUCUGGAGCAUCAAGCAAUUGGAGGGUUUGUAACUCACUGUGGGUAGAAUUCUAUCCUUGAAGGAGUGUCUUCUGGGGUGCUAAUGAUAACAUGGCCCGUGUCUGCCGAGCAGUUUUACAAUGAGAAGUUGGUGACUGAAAUUCUGAGAAUUGGGGUUGCUGUUGGUUCUGAAAAAUGGGCUUCAUUAGUAGAUGUGAAGAAGGAAGCAAGAGUGAAGAGGGACGCUAUAGAGAAGGCUGUGGCUCAAGUCAUGGUGGGGGAUGAAGCAGAGGAAAUGAGAAGCAGAGCCAGGGGACUAAGAGAGCUGGCAAGGAGGGCUAUUGAAAAAGGAGGAUCAUCAUACUCUGAUUUGAAUGCCCUAAUUGAAGAACUGAGGUCCCAUAGGUCCCAUAGUAAGUAUUGAAAAGGACUUCAGUUUUUUUUCCGUGUGUCUUUUAUGUCUUAUGUAUAAGAAAAAUUUGAGUGACAAGCUUAUUUGAGGGACACCCUUGUA